UACGUAGGGGGCGAGCGUUGUCCGGAAUUACUGGGCGUAAAGGGUGCGUAGGCGGUUGUCUAAGUCAGAUGUGAAAUCCCCGGGCUCAACUCGGGUGGUGCAUUUGAAACUGGGUAACUAGAGUGCAGGAGAGGGAAGCGGAAUUCCUAGUGUAGCGGUGAAAUGCGUAGAUAUUAGGAGGAACACCAGUGGCGAAGGCGGCUUUCUGGACUGUAACUGACGCUGAGGCACGAAAGCGUGGGGAGCAAAC
rnacentral:rRNA from 1 species